rnacentral:rRNA from 1 species
CGCAAGCCUGAUGCAGCAACGCCGCGUGAGGGAUGACGGCCUUCGGGUUGUAAACCUCUUUUAGUAGGGAAGAAGCGAAAGUGACGGUACCUGCAGAAAAAGCACCGGCUAACUACGUGCCAGCAGCCGCGGUAAUACGUAGGGUGCAAGCGUUGUCCGGAAUUAUUGGGCGUAAAGAGCUCGUAGGCGGCUUGUCGCGUCUGCUGUGAAAUCCCGGGGCUCAACCCCGGGCCUGCAGUGGGUACGGGCAAGCUAGAGUGCGGUAGGGGAGAUUGGAAUUCCUGGUGUAGCGGUGGAAAUGCCCCAAAUAUCNAGGAGGGAACACCGAAUUGGCCCAAAGGCAGAANUNUUUUUGG